rnacentral:rRNA from 1 species
GAUGAACGCUAGCUACAGGCUAAACACAUGCAAGUCGAGGGGUAACAAGAGAAAAGCUUGCUUUUCUUGUUGACGACCGGCGCACGGGUGAGUAACGCGUAUCCAACCUGCCUAUAACUAGGGAAUAACCUUGCGAAAGUAAGACUAAUACCCUAUGAUUUCCUUUGAUGACAUCAGAUUAGGAAUAAAGAUUUAUCGGUUAUAGAUGGGGAUGCGUCUGAUUAGCUUGUUGGCGGGGUAACGGCCCACCAAGGCAACGAUCAGUAGGGGUUCUGAGAGGAAGGUCCCCCACAUUGGAACUGAGACACGGUCCAAACUCCUACGGGAGGCAGCAGUGAGGAAUAUUGGUCAAUGGGCGAAAGCCUGAACCAGCCAAGUAGCGUGCAGGAUGACGGCCCUAUGGGUUGUAAACUGCCUUUAUACAGGAAUAAAGUUAGCCACGUGUGGUUAUUUGUAGGUACUGUAUGAAUAAGGACCGGCUAAUUCCGUGCCAGCCGCCGCCGUAA